UAAUACGGAGGGUGCAAGCGUUGUUCGGAAUUACUGGGCGUAAAGAGCGUGUAGGCGGUUUGGCAAGUCAGAUGUGAAAGCCCUGGGCUCAACCCAGGAAGUGCAUUUGAAACUGCCAUUCUUGAGUAUGAGAGAGGAGAGUGGAAUUCCCAGUGUAGAGGUGAAAUUCGUAGAUAUUGGGAGGAACACCCGUGGCGAAGGCGACUCUCUGGAUCAAUACUGACGCUGAGACGCGAAAGCGUGGGGAGCAAACAGGAUUAGAUACCCUGGUAGUCCACGCCGUAAACGAUGAGAACUAGGUGUAGCGGGUAUUGACCCCUGCUGUGCCGCAGCUAACGCAUUAAGUUCUCCGCCUGGGGAGUACGGUCGCAAGGCUA
rnacentral:rRNA from 1 species